rnacentral:rRNA from 1 species
UACAGAGGUCUCAAGCGUUGUUCGGAUUCAUUGGGCGUAAAGGGUGCGUAGGUGGCGCGGAAAGUCGGGUGUGAAAUUUCGGAGCUUAACUCCGAAACUGCAUUCGAUACUGCCGUGCUUGAGGACUGGAGAGGAGACUGGAAUUUACGGUGUAGCAGUGAAAUGCGUAGAGAUCGUAAGGAAGACCAGUGGCGAAGGCGGGUCUCUGGGCAUCUCCUGACGCUGAGGCGCGAAAGCGUGGGGAGCAAACGGG